ACGGCUCAGUAACACGUGGUUAAUCUACCCUUAGGAGAAGGAUAUCCACGGGAAACUGUGGCUAAUACUUCAUAGAGGUUAAUUGCUGGAAUGCAUCUACCUCCAAAGGCAACGCCUAAGGAUGAGACUGCGGAUGAUUAGCUAGUUGGUGGGGUAACUGCCUACCAAGGCGAUGAUCAUUAGGGGCUCUUAGCGGAGUCGCCCCGAGAAGGAAUCUGAGACACGAAUCCAGGCCCUACGGGGUGCAGCAGGCGCGAAAACUUUACAAUGCUGGCAACAGCGAUAAGGGGACCUCGAGUGCCAGGAUACAAUCUUGGCUGUCGCGAUGCCUAAAAAGCAUUGCAUAGCAAGGGCCGGGCAAGACCGGUGCCAGCCGCCGCGGUAACACCGGCGGCUCGAGUGGUAACCGCUAUUAUUGGGUCUAAAGGGUCUGUAGCCGGCCGGAUAAGUCUCUUGGGAAAUCCAGCUGCUCAACAGUUGGGCUUUCAGGAGAUACUGUUCGGCUCGAGGCCGGGAGAGGUGAGAGGUACUUCAGGGGUAGGGGUGAAAUCUUGUAAUCCUUGAAGGACCACCAGUGGCGAAGGCGUCUCACCAGAACGGACCUGACGGCAAGGGACGAAAGCUAGGGGCACGAACCGGAUUAGAUACCCGGGUAGUCCUAGCCGUAAACGAUACUCGCUAGGUGUCAGCCACGGUGCGACCGUGGUUGGUGCCGUAGGGAAGCCGUGAAGCGAGCCACCUGGGAAGUACGGCCGCAAGGCUGAAACUUAAAGGAAUUGGCGGGGGAG
rnacentral:rRNA from 1 species